rnacentral:rRNA from 1 species
GAUGAACGCUAGCGGCAGGCUUAAUACAUGCAAGUCGAGGGGCAGCAUGAUUGUAGCAAUACAAUUGAUGGCGACCGGCAAACGGGUGCGGAACACGUACACAACCUUCCAACAAGUGGGGGAUAGCCCAGAGAAAUUUGGAUUAAUACCCCGUAACAUAGCGAUGUGGCAUCACAUUGCUAUUAUAGAUUUUUCGCUUGUUGAUGGGUGUGCGGCUGAUUAGAUAGUUGGCGGGGUAACGGCCCACCAAGUCUACGAUCAGUAGCUGAUGUGAGAGCAUGAUCAGCCACACGGGCACUGGGACACGGGCCCGACUCCUACGGGAGGCAGCAGUAAGGAAUAUUGGACAAUGGACGCAAGUCUGAUCCAGCCAUGCCGCGUGAAGGAUUAAGGUCCUCUGGAUUGUAAACUUCUUUUAUAAGGGACGAAAAAAGGCUUUUCUAAGUCGUCUGACGGUACCUUAUGAAUAAGCACCGGCUAACUCCGUGCCAGCAGCCGCGGUAA